rnacentral:rRNA from 3 species
CCUAGUGACAAUAGCGGAGAGGAAACACCCGUUCCCAUCCCGAACACGGAAGUUAAGCUCUCCAGCGCCGAUGGUAGUUGGGGCCAGCGCCCCUGCAAGAGUAGGUCGUCGCUAGGC